UGCGGUUAUACAAAAAUUAAAUUAAAUUUUUUUUAGGAUUAAUAAAUAAAAUUUAAAAUUAAUAAUAAUUUAAAUUUUAAAUUAUAAAGUGAAAUUUUAAUUUAAUUAAAAUUUAUUUAUUUUUAUGAUAUUAAUAAAUUUUAUAAAAAAACUAGGAUUAGAUACCCUAUUAUAAAAAUUUAAAUUAAAAUAAUCUUAAAAUAGUAUGUAAUUUUUUAUAGAAACUUAAAUAAUUUGGCGGUAUUUUAGUUCAUUUAGAGGAAUCUGUCUAAUAAUUGAUAAUCCACGAUUAAAUUUACUUAAUUUUUAAUUUUGUAUAUCGUUGUUAAAAAAAUAUUUUUAAAUAAUUUUAAUAUUUUAGAAUUUAUAUAAAAAAUUAAAUCAGAUCAAGAUGCAGAUUAUAAUUAAGAAUAUGAUGGAUUACAAUAAAUUUUAUUUAGCUUGAAUAUUAAUUUGAAAUAAGUUGAUUGAAAUUGGAUUUAAAUGUAAUUUUAUUUAUUUUAAUAAAAUGAUUUAAAAUUAAAAUAUGUACAUAUUGCCCGUCGCUUUCAUAUAUAAAUUGAAAUAAGUCGUAACAAAGUAGAGGUACUGGAAAGUGUUUCUAGAAAGAU
rnacentral:rRNA from 1 species